AUUUUUUAACCGACUAAUUUGGACAAAACGCGAUUUUUGUGCAGCUUCAGAUUCACAGAGACACCAAUUGAGAUAUUGAAAGCAUUCCCACCGCCAAUCAGGAUAUGGGGGCCUUCUGAGAGAUGAAGCAAGCACUUGGCUAUGGGGCUACUAUGGAAAGUUUGGUCAUUGCACAAGUCUGGAGGCACAGAUCUGGGCCAUUUAUAGAGUACUCACCAUCAUCUUUCAAAAAGGCACUACUGAAGUGGAAAUUGAAUCUGACUCAGAACAUGCCAUCAAUCAAAUUCUCCAAGGUCCAAGUCAAAACUCACCUUACAAAGCCCUCAUUGAAGAUACAAAUUUCUGCUACAAAGGUGCAACUGUUCCCUUGGCCACACACUGCGAGAGGGAAACAAAGCUGCUGAUAAAUUAGCCAGCGCAGGAUGAUCAUGUUGUGAUACUUGAGGAUCCUCCACCUGAAGUCACACCUUUGAUCAUUGAUGAUAUGUGUGGUGUUAGUGUAGCGAGGGAUUAACCCUCUGCUUGGUGUUUUGCUUCUGUGAACUCUUGUUUAGUACUUUCCUUUGAAUCAAAAUAAAAAGAAGAAAGCAUUCCCUCCGAGACAGCACCAAUGAAAUCGUUUUUGUUGGGUCUCUUUUGUUCUAGCCCUAACAACUUCCCAAGAGAAAUAAUCCAAAAUAUUUCAAUUGAAGUUGUCCGUGACAUUGCUGAAUCUGCUGUUUCAGAGCUUCAAAUUCUGUAAUCAAGACGGUGAUCUAAUCAACUGGACUCCGUCUUUUAGUUGAAUUUGUGGCUUUUGGGUCGUGGGUUUGAUUGGUUGGUUUCCUUUUGGUCCAUUUUACUCUUCCAUUUAGUGUUUUGGCUGAUGGUGCAAAGGCUAUGGGACACAUACGAACUAAAUGAUAUGCUAUAGUUUCACUAACUCAACUAAAGUAGCUGCCCAAGAAGAGGUGUUGAAGUCUGUGAGUUUUACAGAAGUGUUUGUCCCAAAGGAAAAGAGGAUAUUUGUAUGUGGCUUGCUCUGGCUCGUGUUCAUCUCAUUUGCGGUGAGUUGGAUGCCUUCAGGUGAGACAUAAGCAUCUCCUUCUGCAACUAUCUCUGCAUUUAGUUGCGGACCAAUAUUAGUCAAGUUGAAGCUCAGUGCAGUUGCAUGAAGAGGGUUUACUACAAGGUAGUAACAGAUGAUUGCGUAGAAGAAGAAGAAAAAGAGAGAACAAAGUAAAUUUUGUGAUCGGAGGGGGUUCCACGAGUUGCAAACAACCAUGGCCAUGGUUGGUUGAGGAUAACUAGUUUUUGGUGAGUGAUUUUGACAUAUAAAUUAGUAAAUAACUGUAGACAUCUUUUGUACCAAAGUCUUGCAACUUCUGUGUUUUUUUUUUUUUUUUUUUUUUUUUUUUUUUUUUUUUUUUUUUUUUUGGAACACAAGUUUUGCAACUUUGUUGAAUCAGUCUUUUUGUGUACUGUUUCAUAGAUAUAAUUUUCUUUUCAUUGCGUGUAUUCUUUUUAAUCGCAAAAAAUAGAAAACAUUGCUUGGUAAUA